ensembl:snoRNA SNORD35B small nucleolar RNA, C/D box 35B
GGCAAAUGAUGUUUGUUUUCACGAUGGUCUUCAGAUGCCCACCAGGGGCACUGCCGAGAAACCCACUUAGCAAAGCUGAUGCCAGUGG